AGAGUUUGAUCAUGGCUCAGGAUGAACGCUGGCGGCGUGCCUAACACAUGCAAGUCGAACGUGAUAGCUUAGCAAUAAGCUUGAAAGUGGCGAACGGGUGAGUAACACGUAGGUGACCUGCCGCGCAGAGGGGGAUAACGACUGGAAACGGUCGCUAACACCGCAUGUGACGAGCUUUUUGGGAAAUUAGCUCGUUAAAACUUUGGUGCUGCGCGAGGGGCCUGCGCCCGAUUAGUUAGUUGGUGAGGUAAUGGCUCACCAAGGCGACGACGGGUAGGGGACCUGAGAGGGUGACCCCCCACAAUGGAACUGAAACACGGUCCAUACACCUACGGGUGGCAGCAGUAGGGAAUAUUGCUCAAUGGGCGAAGCCUGAAGCAGCAACGCCGCGUGCGUGAUGAAGGUCUUCGUAU
rnacentral:rRNA from 1 species